rnacentral:rRNA from 1 species
GAUGAACGCUGGCGGCGUGCCUAAUACAUGCAAGUCGAGCGAACGGACGAGAAGCUUGCUUUUCUGAUGUUAGCGGCGGACGGGUGAGUAACACGUGGAUAACCUACCUAUAAGACUGGGAUAACUUCGGGAAACCGGAGCUAAUACCGGAUAAUAUUUUCAACCGCAUGGUUCAAAAGUGAAAGACGGUCUUGCUGUCACUUAUAGAUGGAUCCGCGCUGCAUUAGCUAGUUGGUAAGGUAACGGCUUACCAAGGCAACGAUGCAUAGCCGACCUGAGAGGGUGAUAGGCCACACGGGAGCUGAGACACGGUCCAGACUCCUACGGGAGGCAGCAGUAGGGAAUCUUCCGCAAUGGGCGAAAGCCUGACGGAGCAACGCCGCGUGAGUGAUGAAGGUCUUCGGAUCGUAAAACUCUGUUAUUAGGGAAGAACAUAUGUGUAAGUAACUGUGCACAUCUUGACGGUACCCAAUCAAAAAGCCACGGCUAACUACGUG